UACAGAGGGGUGCAAGCGUUGUUCGGAAUUACUGGGCGUAAAGCGCACGUAGGCGGCUUUGUAAGUUAGAGGUGAAAGCCCGGGGCUCAACUCCGGAAUUGCCUUUAAGACUGCAUCGCUAGAAUUGUGGAGAGGUAAGUGGAAUUCCGAGUGUAGAGGUGAAAUUCGUAGAUAUUCGGAAGAACACCAGUGGCGAAGGCGGCUUCCUGGUCCAGCACCGACGUUCAGGCACGAAAGCGUGGGGGAGCAAACAGG
rnacentral:rRNA from 1 species